UACGUAGGGGGCGAGCGUUGUCCGGAUUUAUUGGGCGUAAAACGCUUGUAGGUGGCUACGUCAAGUCGGACGUGAAAUCUCCCGGCUUAACUGGGAGGGGUCGCUCGAUACUGGCGAGCUCGAGGCAGGUAGGGGGAAGCGGAAUUCCAGGUGUAGCGGUGAAAUGCGUAGAUAUCUGGAGGAACACCGGUGGCGAAGGCGGCAUCCUGGACCGGCAUUGACGCUGAACAGCGAAAGCCAGGGGAGCAAACGGG
rnacentral:rRNA from 1 species